rnacentral:rRNA from 1 species
UAACGCGUGAGGAACCUGCCUUCCAGAGGGGGACAACAGUUGGAAACGACUGCUAAUACCGCAUGACACAUUUGAAUCGCAUGGUUUGAAUGUCAAAGAUUUAUCGCUGGAAGAUGGCCUCGCGUCUGAUUAGCUAGUUGGCAGGGUAACGGCCUACCAAGGCGACGAUCAGUAGCCGGACUGAGAGGUUGACCGGCCACAUUGGGACUGAGAUACGGCCCAGACUCCUACGGGAGGCAGCAG